AUUGAACGCUGGCGGCAGGCCUAACACAUGCAAGUCGAACGAGUGGCGGACGGGUGAGUAAUGUCUGGGAAACUGCCCGAUGGAGGGGGAUAACUACUGGAAACGGUAGCUAAUACCGCAUACCAUAGGAUGUGCCCAGAUGGGAUUGGCUUGUUGGUGGGGUAACGGCUCACCUAGGCGCCGAUCCCUAGCUGGUCUGAGAGGAUGACCAGCCACACUGGAACUGGGACACGGUCCAGACUCCGACGGGAGGUAGUAGGGGGGAAUAUUGCACAAUGGGGGAAAGCCGGAUGCAGCAACGCCGCGGGCGUGAUGACGGCCUUCGGGUUGUAAACCGCUGUCAGCCAUGACGCGGUAGUGGCAGAAGAAGCACCGGCUAACUCCGUGCCAGCAGCCGCGGUAAUUC
rnacentral:rRNA from 1 species